AAGUCGUAUCAAGGUUUCCGUAGUGAACCGCGGAAGGAUCAUUACCCCUGUGAACCUUCACCUGUACUCGUUAGAAAAAGCAGCAAUCCCUUCGAUGCAUGUUGUGCGAAGGAAGUGGCCUGCAUCCCCAAGCAGUUAAAGUGUCAUUAACUGGGAAAGGAUGACGCAGUCACGAUUGUUGGAGGCCCACACGGCCGACGACCGGGUCACAGCCCCUCUAACAAACCCCCUGCCAAUCGCGGUCGCGAUAAUUCGCAAUCGACCAAAAACCGAACAGGAAACAAUGGAUAUCGUGGUUCUG
rnacentral:misc_RNA from 1 species